rnacentral:rRNA from 1 species
ACGUGAAAUUGUUGAAAGGGAAGGCGCUGGCAACCAGACUUGCUCGCGGGAUGAUCAGCCUCCCUUCNGGGGGGGUGCACUCGCCCGCGANUCAGGCCAGCAUCGGGUUUCGGCGGGCGGAUAAAGUCCCCAGGAAUGUAGCUCCCCUCGGGGAGUGUUAUAGCCUGAGGUGCCAUGCGCCCAGCCGGGACCGAGGACCGCGCUCCGGCUAGGAUGCUGGCGUAAUGGUUGUCAGCGACCCGUCUUUGAAACACGGACCAAGGAGUCUAACAUCUGUGCGAGUGUUUGGGUGUCAAACCCAGGCGCGGAAUGAAAGUGAACGGAGGUGGGAGCCCUCCCGGGGGCGCACCAUCGACCGAUCCUGAUGUCUUCGGAUGGAUUUGAGUAGGAGCAUGGCUGUUGGGACCCGAAAGAUGGUGAACUAUGCGUGAAUAGGGUGAAGCCAGAGGAAACUCUGGUGGAGGCUCGCAGCGGUUCUGACGUGCAAAUCGAUCGUCAAAUUUGCGUAUAGGGGCGAAAGGUACGUCGGUAAAUUUCUUAUUGUCCCAUUCCUGUAAUAAUCGUAGCGUAAAUAUUUGUAGAGCGACCGCUGACCGUUAAGCAGACUAAUCGAACCAUCUAGUAGCUGGUUUCAGCCGAAGUUUCCCUCAGGAUAGCAGUAACGUUUUCAGUUUUAUGAGGUAAAGCGAAUGAUUAGAGGCC